GGGCAGCCUGUUAACCUGCGAGUACAAACAACCAUUACAGGAUCCUUUCCUGGUUUGCUAGGGAACAGAAAGGCCUCCAGCAUCUGCCAGGGAAGGAGAGACCUUGGUGAUACUCUUCAUCAUGGAAUGAUGCAGCAAGAAGUCCCUUGUCAGAUUUGUACCCCUUGACUUUGGACUUUCCUGCCUCCAGAACUACUAGGCUACAGGAGCUUCCCACGCAGAGCUGGAUGUGUCACUGUGGCUCAAUGAGCUGAACAGAGAGUCAUCAAGAAGAGCUGAGGAGAGCAGCCUCUUUGGGAGCCAUGACCCUGGGCCUCUCUGCUUCCUCUUCCCAGCAUGCCCUGAGACUCCACUCAUGACUCCUUCCUGGCUCCCUCCUUGUCCAGACUGGAACACCAUUGGGCCCACUUGCUUCUCUCCUCACCAGAGGGUUGAGAGAACCCAAGAGAUGUCUAUCUUUGUAUACAAGAAUUUUUAUCAGAGAAGAGAAUGCAUUAUUAGUCAUCUAUGGGUGUUUAUAAUAGAAAUUACCAUUAUCUAAACUACUAGGAUUUCCUUUGGGGUAAAAAAAAGUCUUUUACUGUGGAAUAGAGCUGAACCUUAAUGAAGGAGGAGGAUGAAGAGAAGGAGGAGAAGGAAAGAGGAGAACAGUUUUCCACAGCCUCUCUCUGGGUAUGGUUACUAGGCAUCUAAGGACUUUUGCCCUUUUUGGGGAAAAACAAAACAAAACAAAACAGAUUUUUAAAAAAAUAUUACUUACAAAAUCCACAAGUUAAAUGCAGUUGGAUCCACAAAACAAGCAUUAAAUAUAAAAAUACAGUCUAUAUCCAACUAUACAUUUAAAAUGGGUAAGAUGGUAAAUUUUAUGGUAUAUAUCUUUUACCACAACUAAAAAAAUUUCUUUUAAAUACAAUCUGUGCAUGAUACCAAGCAUUAAAAUAAGGGUAGCAAGUUGAAAAUGAAAAAUGCAAGAGCACAAAUUUAUGAUGGAAGGGGGGCUAAGCUCUCUCCAUCUACCUGAAGGGUGAAUGUAGUCAGUAACUAUGAUAUGCUAUGUUGGAUAAGGAAUAAAAUAACCAUCAAAAUGAUUCAUAGAACAAAAGUAGGCAUUCAUUUAGAAGUUAAAAUUGUACUUGGAAUUCAAAUAGAAGUGAAUGUAUAACUAAGUGCUAUGUUUACUAGAUGUCUGCUUUUAUUUAUAUAUUCUCUGCCUCUGAAAAAGAAUACGAGGGUGGAACUAUAAUAAUAUUAUAUAGCUAAAUAUGCAACUCCAUCCUUUCCCCUAAGUUAAAAGUCAGAACAUGCCAAGGACAGAAAAUUCCAGUCAGACAAAGGAGGUAAGGA